UACGGGGGGGGCAAGCGUUGUUCGGAAUUACUGGGCGUAAAGGGCUGGUAGGCGGCCAACUAAGUCGGAUGUGAAAUCCCCAGGCUUAACCUGGGAACUGCAUCCGAUACUGGUCGGCUUGAAUCCGGGAGAGGGAUGCGGAAUUCCAGGUGUAGCGGUGAAAUGCGUAGAUAUCUGGAGGAACACCGGUGGCGAAGGCGGCAUCCUGGACCAAUUCUGACGCUGAGGAGCGAAAGCCAGGGGAGCAAACGGG
rnacentral:rRNA from 1 species